UUAUUGCUUUUUUUUUUUUUUUUUUUCAAAUCUGGGGAUUGAAUAUGAUUUAGGUUUGAAUUCCUUGGUUGGAUUGGUUUAGAUUUAGAUUUAGUUAUCUACCAUGUAGGAAAAAUACCCACUUAAAAAACAAACACUAAAACAAACUUGAAACACCACACUCAAAGAAAAACGAUGCAUGUAUUCGAACCCAAAGAAAAACGAUGCAUCUAUUUGAACCCAAAGAAAAAAGAUGUAUCUGUUGCUGUUUCUGUGAUGUAUGUCCAUGGCUGUAUUUCUGCUGCUGCAUAUUCUGUUUUCUACAGAACAGGUUCAGGAUUUUCUGCAUAAUCUGUGCUUACAGGGGGGUUGAGUGUAAUAUCUGUUGUUGUUUCUGUGAUGUUGUCCAUGGGCUGUAUUUCUGUUGCUGCAUAUUCUGUUUUCUGCAGAACAGAAAGGAUUUUCUGCAUAAUCUGUGUUUACAGGAGGGUAAUUGUAAUAUCUGUUGCUGUUUCUGUAUUCUAUGUCCAUGGGCUGUAUUUAUUUUGUUGCAGAUUUUGUUUUCUGCAGAACAGGUAUUUGUUCCCCUAUGUUUAUGCUUACAAGGUUGUAAUGUGUUUGUACAUGUAUUUCCCUUUUAUCAAAUAAAAUUUCUAUAUUUAUCUCAAAAAAAAAA